ACACAUGAUACAAUAACAGAUAAUUGUAUGUGCACAUGAAUACAUCAUACCAAUAUCAAUUUCUUGGUUUGGAUACUGUAGUAUAGUUAUGUAAGGUGUAACUACUGGAGGAAAAUGGGCAAAGAGCACAGGAAAACUCUUGGAUCUAUAUUCACAACUUAUGAAUGUCCACUGCUGAGCAGGAUUUACAAGGAGAAAGAAGCCACCUUGGUUGUCUUUGUAAUGAAUGAAUUAGAUUCUAAAACAUACAUAUCUACCAUUUAUCAUGAAAGGUAACACUCAAAUAAAAAAAUCCUUUUUUUCCCCCUUCAGCUACUUUAGUAUGUAAUAUUAACUUUCUUCCUCAACCCCCUAGCUCAUAUAAUCAUACUCACAUCCUUUCAUUCAUUUCAUUACAGACGGGAAGGAACUAACAUAUUCAAGCUUACUUCUGGCUGUGUCACUGACCCAACAGAGGCCAGUAGGUCCAGCAUGGCAAGCAUGGCUCCAGGAUGAAUGAUGACUGCAUCAGAACUCUGGAGAGAUGAAGUUGUCACAUGUAGUUUCAGUCUGAGAAGCAGCCAAGAAAUCGAACAGCAUCUGCCAACUUCUCAUACUGAAUCUCUGUUUUGAAGAAAUGAGAGUUGGCUGGCUCAUAGCGCAUUGCUGCAGUCAACGUGCAGAACACAGUGUGAAGAAGUUCAAACACUUGAUUCUGGUUCACUUUCUCCCAGCCAUUCUUGGGUGGACAGCUCAAAGAUCUUUCCAUAGCAACGAGCAAGGAUGUAAUGUACACAAAUCCUCCAACUUUCCUAAAAACUGUUCUUGAACGAUGGCUUUCUCGAAGGACCGACAGGAGGGCCUACAGGAGACAAAAGAAAAAAACAAAUGAAAAUACACAUAAUUCAAAAAAAAAAAACACUAUGCAUUUAUAUGGAGGUUGUACAUUCUGUGAAUCUGACAUGUUUUUAUCAUUUACCCAAUAAACGGUCCUAUAAGGCAU
rnacentral:lncRNA from 1 species